CAGGGAUCAGCGCUUCCAGACGUCUCUGGGAGGCUUCCAAACUGUAACCUAUGAGGAACCAGCUAGGAGAGGCAGUGCUCUGAUCAGAAACUGGAGUGGUAUUCUCUCCUCUCCAGGUUCUGAGUUCUGGAGAGCUAAGGAAGAGGACAAGAAAACCACUAUGCCCAGGGUGUGUGACUUUGGAAAAUAGAGGUGAGCUGGUGGGUGUGACUCCUUAUUCCAGCAAACUAAGUGUAUCUUCAUCAAGUAUCUCAAAAAGAGUAAUUUGGAGCAAAUAAGCGAGCUCAUAGAUAGCAGGAUCUUAAAGCUGACUG
rnacentral:lncRNA from 1 species